rnacentral:tRNA from 1 species
CCCCCGGUAGCUGAGUGGUCAGCGCGGUGGACUGUCAAUCCAAAGGGCCCGGGUUCGAUUCCCGGCUGGGUCGGA